rnacentral:rRNA from 1 species
GACGAACGCUGGCGGCGUGCUUAACACAUGCAAGUCGAACGGAAAGGCCCUGCUUUUGUGGGGUGCUCGAGUGGCGAACGGGUGUGUAACACGUGAGCAACCUGCCCUUGACUUUGGGAUAACUUCAGGAAACUGGGGCUAAUACCGGAUAGGUGCUCCUGCUGCAUGGUGGGGGUUGGAAAGUUUCGGCGGUUGGGGAUGGACUCGCGGCUUAUCAGCUUGUUGGUGGGGUAGUGGCUUACCAAGGCUUUGACGGGUAGCCGGCCUGAGAGGGUGACCGGCCACAUGGGGACUGAGAUACGGCCCAGACUCCUACGGGAGGCAGCGGUGGGGAAUAUUGCACAAUGGGCGGAAGCCUGAUGCAACAACGCCGCGUGCGGGAUGACGGCCUUCGGGUUGGAAACCGCUUUCGCCUGUGACGAAGCGUGAGUGACGGUAAUGGGUAAAGAAGCACCGGCUAACUACGUG